UGCGUAGGCGGAAUGAUAAGUUAGUGGUGAAAGCCCCCGGCUCAACCGGGGAACUGCCAUUAAUACUGUUAUUCUUGAGUAUAGUUGAAGUGGGCGGAAUGUAUCAUGUAGCGGUGAAAUGCUUAGAUAUGAUACAGAACACCGAUAGCGUAGGCAGCUUGCUAAACUAUAACUGACGCUCAGGCACGAAAGCGUGGGGAGCAAACAGGAUUAGAUACCCUGGUAGUCC
rnacentral:rRNA from 1 species